rnacentral:rRNA from 1 species
CCUACGGGAGGCAGCAGUGGGGAAUAUUGGACAAUGGGGGGAACCCUGAUCCAGCGACGCCGCGUGAGUGAAGAAGUAGUUCGGUAUGUAAAGCUCUAUCAGCAGGGAAGAAAGAAAUGACGGUACCGGACUAAGAAGCCCCGGCUAACUACGUGCCAGCAGCCGCGGUAAUACGUAGGGGGCAAGCGUUAUCCGGAUUUACUGGGUGUAAAGGGAGCGUAGACGGCGAUGCCAGUCUGAAGUGAAAGGCGGGGGCCCAACCCCCGGACUGCUUUUGAAACGGGAUGGCUGGAGUGCAGGGGCGUUCAGUGGACUUCCUUUUGUAGCGGUUACCUGCGUCGAUAUU